ACCACCGUGACCGGUGACCAUUUCAUUCUCUCUCUCUCUCUCUCUCUCAAGGAAGGAUCUACGAGGGAGUCACGGUGGAGUUUACUCCCCCUAUCUCCUCCACGGGCGUUCUUCAAUCAGAGAAAUCCAUGGAUCGAGCUUCUCUCCUCCUCCUCAGCAUCUCUAUAUUCUUGGAUCUGACCGCGGCUGAUAAAAUUCCGGAUAAGCUCGAUUUAGCAGCCGAAUCAGGGAUGAUUUUCCCGCUUAGCUACUCAUCCCUUCCGCCGCGAGUGGAGGAUUUUCGCCGUCGUCUCCAUCAGUCGCAGCUCCCUAACGCUCACAUGAAGCUCUACGAUGACCUCCUCGCCAACGGCUACUACACGACACGGUUAUUGAUAGGAACACCACCACAAGAGUUCGCUUUGAUUGUAGAUACUGGAAGCACCGUCACUUACGUUCCUUGCUCCACCUGCAAACACUGUGGGAAGCAUCAGGAUCCCAAGUUCCAACCUGAGUUAUCUAGCACCUACGAAUCUGUCAAAUGCAAUCCUGAUUGUAAUUGUGAUGAUGAUGGGAAACUUUGUAUCUAUGAAAGACGUUACGCUGAGAUGAGUUCCAGUAGUGGGAUUCUAAGUGAGGAUUUGAUAUCUUUCGGCAACGAGAGCCAGCUUUCUCCGCAACGCGCUGUUUUUGGAUGCGAGAACGCUGAGACAGGGGACCUUUUCAGCCAACGUGCUGAUGGUAUUUUGGGUUUGGGUCGCGGUAAGCUUAGUAUCGUUGAUCAGCUUGUUGACAAGGGUGUCAUCGAGGACUCUUUUUCCUUGUGUUAUGGUGGAAUGGAAGUUGGUGGUGGUGCGAUGGUGCUUGGUAAAAUAUCUCCUCCUCCUGCUGGAAUGGUCUUUGCCCGUUCCGAUCCUUUCCGCAGUCCCUACUACAACAUUGACCUGAAACAAAUGCAUGUUGCUGGCAAGUCUCUGAAGCUUAACCCAAAGGUCUUUAACGGAAAGCAUGGAACCGUCUUGGAUAGUGGAACAACGUAUGCUUAUUUUCCCAAGGAAGCGUUUAAUGCCAUAAAGGACGCGGUCAUUAAGGAAAUCCCAUCUCUCAAACGGAUUCAUGGUCCAGACCCAAACUAUGAUGAUAUUUGUUUCUCUGGCGCUGGAAGGGAUGUGGCUGAGAUACACAAUUUUUUCCCCGAGAUUGCGAUGGAGUUUGGCAAUCAUCAGAAACUGAUCCUUUCUCCCGAGAACUACUUGUUCAGGCACACUAAAGUUAGAGGCGCUUACUGCCUUGGAAUAUUUCCUGAUAGAGACUCAACAACACUCCUUGGAGGAAUUGUUGUUCGCAAUACGCUUGUCACUUAUGACCGUGAAAAUGACAAGCUCGGGUUUUUGAAAACCAACUGUUCUGAUCUAUGGAGGAGGCUGGCGUCACCACCAGAUUCUCCUGCACCUACUUUACCAGUUACCCAAAAUAAAAGUUCUAAUAAUAUCUCUCCAAGCCCAGGCCCGGCUUCAAGCAAGUCUCCUGCAGUGGAUCUUCCAGGUGUUUUUCGGAUUGGAGUUAUCACCUUCGAAGUGUCAAUUAGUGUAAAUAAUGCGUCAAUGAAGCCCAACUUCUCAGAGAUCGCAGAUUUCAUUGCCCAUGAGUUAGAGAUUCAAAGUUCACAGGUUCGCUUGUUGAGUAUCACGACCAGAGGAAAUGAGUAUCGCCUGAAAUGGGGAAUCUAUCCCCCACAAUCUUCUGAGUACAUUUCCAAUAAUACAGCACUGAACAUAAUGUCGCUUUUGAAGGAAAACAAAUUGCGCCUACCCGGUCAAUUUGGAAGCUACAAAUUGCUAGAAUGGAAGGCUGAGCAGAAGCGGAAACAGAGCUGGUGGGAGAAGCAUUUACUUGGAGUGGUGGGGGGAGUAAUGAUCUCGUUACUGGUUACUUCGGUGAUGGUCAAACUCGCGUUGGUGUGGAGAAGGAGACAAGAAGAAGAAGCAACUUAUGAGCCUGUAAGUGCUGCUGUUAAAGAACAAGAACUCCAGCCUCUCUCGUCCUCUGAAACAUCUAAUGCUUGAGCCUCCCCAUCACUCAACAGAGAUUAGGACGCGAUCGUUAUGUGAGACAAAGGCUACUCAAAGUCAUAUGAUAAACUCUGUUGAGACUUCAUCGUUUCUAUGGCAAAAAGGAGAGGGAAGAUGGAGGAAGAGUUGAGAAUAGAAAUUAAGGAGAAAUUUGAACUUCUUAUAUUUUGUGAUCGUUCUAUCACAUAAGUUCUUUACCAGCAAAAGACAGUUAUGUAUAAAACGCAAUCGACAUUUACUUCAGUGACUUGGGCUUCUUCUCGUUUCAUUCCGAGAUCUGUUAACAGCCAAGCCAAACUAUAAGCUCUUAUCAUCAUACUUCUAAACUUAUAAAAAGUUGUAUGUAACAAAAACGGAUAAAUACUACGAAAUCACAAAACUAGCAUCUUGAUCUAUAACUUGACCUACUAUUUCAAGUUUUGUAAAUAUUAAUUUGUAAAAUGACAAUGAAUUUAAGAAAAUUUAGGUCCAUAACAAUGAUGUGACAUCUUCUCUGAAACUGUGUAAACAAACAUUUUUAAUCCCAUUUCUACCUUUCGCAUAACUACAUUUUAUGAAUGUGUCAUUAAUAAAAAUCACCAUACAUUUUAAAUCAUUAGCUCUAGACUAUUAUUUAAUAAAUGGACUACUUUUAUAUUUUUUGGAAUGCAAUAAAACGGAUUGCAUGAAAAAGUUUAAUGGGAAAAGAUCGUUGGUCUUAUAACAGUUACAUGAAAAUCAAUAUCCUAGUCAUUUUCUUAAAUUGCCAAUUUUUGAUACCCUACCAAAGAUACUAUAGUGUACUAAACCAUCACGGUCACAAAAGAGAUAAGAUACCAGUUAAGAAAGGAAUAGAACGAAGAAUCAUUGUCCCUAAUUCAUCCCCCCUUAUUAUUCUCGCCUAUGCUGAGGUUCUUUAUCACCAAUUUCAAUGCACAGAAAAUGGCACACAUUUGUUGACAAAAUUAAUUUACGUACAAUAAAAUAAAGGAACUCACUGUCACACUUCAAAUGCUUCCACCAUAGUUACUUCUUUUGUUUUCUCUCUCUAUUAUUAUUAAAAGCUUGAAGCCCAUCGUAAAAGAAAAUAUACAAGAGGAGGCUCAAAUCCCAGUCAAAAUAAACAAACAAAGAGGAGGCCCAAAAGAGCCCAGUACACAAAAGAGUCAGCAAAGGAAGUCGGUAUUGACUCAAAACCACACGUUUCUUUUAUGAGAGAUAAGGACACGUCCAUCAUGCGAACUAACACCGCACUCCAACGACAAGGACGUCUCCGACGAAGAUUUAAUCGGAAUCCCACCUGAAACCAACCGGAAACAGAAUCCAAUUAGAGAACCUCGCCGUCAACGACAUCAUGAAUUGAAGGAGCCAAUACCUACAACUUCUUCGGUUAUAACUCCUGAGCUCUAUCAACAGAGAGUCAAUCUACCCUAACGGAGAAUCUACUCUGAACAGAGCCACCAAUCGAGCCAAAACCGAAGCUAAAGUUUCUUCACUUCAAAUAACUUCAAUCGAACAACCAACGACCACGAACAUCGAUUUACCUUGAAUGAAACAUGUUGAGAUCGGGUUCAAUGGAAGCAAGAAGAACAUGGAAGCGAAGAUCAAACCAGAACCGAAAGAUAACCGGUAGUAAGUGUAUUUCAGCUGGAGUGGGCCUGCGUGUUCUUGGCCCAAGUCACAUCAGCAUUGCUUUUGGCCCAUCUGUCUUGCCGAAGCCCAAGCUAUGUUCACAAAUCUCCACCAGCUUGGUUAAGGCCCGAUCCUGGCCCACCUCGAUGAACCCUCGUGCCGACAGCCUCAUGUCUUGGUCUCUUUUGUCUUCUUGCGAAAGAAAGACAUCAGUCUCUACUCUCUCUCUCUCGCCGUCUCUCUUCUCGCGAACCUCCACCAGAGAAAUGGUCUUGGCUCAGAUUUCCGAGAGAUCUCGAUCAGCUCCGUUGUACCGACAUCCCUCUGCUCCUCUGUUAUCUCCAGGUACAUCUGAUCUCCAUUUUAGCUUUGAGAUUAGGGUCUUCUGCAAAGAAAGUCGAGAGCUUUCUUGGGAAUUUCACUGAUCCUUUACUUCCUUGUGUCUUGCAUGUCUUCUCCGACAUGAUUCCGGCUCUUACUCGAGCUCCACUGUCAUGCUCCACCUCUUCUGUGAACCGAGGGCACCCUCACGUAUGACGGCCCUAGUACGACCCUGAUGAUUUUGUAUCUUGAUCUGAGUACUCUGCUUUAGCUCGCUCGUUGUGGUUUAGAAAAGCACUUUGAAGAAAUGGUUGGUGACGACAUUCCUAACACCAAACCCGUGACUAGUUGGUGUUGUUCGGUGAACUCCUCCACCUGAACGGAGGACUCUUCUCGAUUCUACUUCUGCUCCAGGUAACAUCUCCUGUCUCUUGUCACGAUACUUUUGGCCAUCAAUUGACUCCUCCUUCGUAUUCACUAACAUGCGUUUGUUACUUGUGAUCUACGAGGGUGAAGUUUAGACAACCAUAGUCACCUGGAGCGUCUUCCUAUCUCAUCAGUGGACAUUCAAAAGUUCACAGCAAAGCUGGAACUUCUGACCAGGGUCUAUCGCAGGUGCAGGGUCAACAAUUCCAGCCAGUCCCUUUCCCGAGUCCUUCAUGGCAGACUCAGGUUCAUCCUUUGCGUCUGAUCCCUCCUUUAGAAGCUUCUCGUCAGUGAGAAUGGACUUAAGCCCAAGCACUCCAAAGUGAGCAAGCAUCCUCACCUUCCACAGGGCGAAAUCACCAUCACCCUCGAACCGGUCAAUAUCCACACGUUCCUUCGAAGUCACCAUUGAACAGGUAUUUCAGCUGGAGUGGGCCUGCGUGUUCUUGGCCCAAGUCACAUCAGCAUUGCUUUUGGCCCAUCUGUCUUGCCGAAGCCCAAGCUAUGUUCACAGUAAGCCAACAACGUCUCAAGGAUAAAAGCGACCGUCACCAGAGCCAAGAGCCGGUUUAUCACCGAAGAGAAGGUGAUACAACCGGAGCCAAGAGCCGGUUUAUCACCGAAGAGAAGGUGAUACAACCGGAGCCAAGAGCCGGAAGCUUCAUCGAAGAAAACACCAGAAACCGGAGCCAAAGCCAGCCGUUCACCGUAAAGGAGACCCAACCAUGGGCAGAGUUUCGCCGGAAAACACCGGCCUGAGAUUUCUCUCUACGCUUCCAUUGUGUAUGAUUGAUGAGAAGGAACAUAGCAGAAGGAGAGAGAAAUUCGUACAGAAGAACCACGCUUAACAAGGUUUUUUUGAUGUGAAUGACCAUAGUUACUUAUAUUCGAACGUUUUACGUUUGUUGUAAGGAAAGAAAAAAAUAAAACGAAAAAGUGUUGUGUAAUAUAGGUGAAGUAUAUAUAUACAUGUACUUAUAUUAUACGACGAUGGCUUCUUUUUUGUUUUGUUUAAGACAUGCGGUAUGUUAAUAACUUCUUAUUUAUAACAUUUAGGAGGUUAUUGGAACAUGAAUUUCUGUGGAAUUUGAUGAUUUUAA